UACGUAGGGGGCAAGCGUUGUCCGGAAUCAUUGGGCGUAAAGAGCGUGUAGGCGGCCCGGUAAGUCCGCUGUGAAAGUCCAGGGCUCAACCCUGGAAUGCCGGUGGAAACUGUCGGGCUAGAGUCCGGAAGAGGCGAGUGGAAUUCCUGGUGUAGCGGUGAAAUGCGCAGAUAUCAGGAGGAACACCAAUGGCGAAGGCAGCUCGCUGGGACGGUACUGACGCUGAGACGCGAAAGCGUGGGGGGCAAACAGG
rnacentral:rRNA from 1 species